GAAUAUUGGACAAUGGGGGCAACCCUGAUCCAGCCAUGCCGCGUGAGUGAUGAAGGCCUUAGGGUUGUAAAGCUCUUUUAGCAGGGAAGAUAAUGACGGUACCUGCAGAAAAAGCCCCGGCUAACUUCGUGCCAGCAGCCGCGGUAAUACGAAGGGGGCUAGCGUUGCUCGGAAUCACUGGGCGUAAAGCGCACGUAGGCGGCUUCUUAAGUCAGGGAUGAAAUCCUGGAGCUCAACUCCAGAACUGCCUUUGAUACUGAGGAGCUUGAGUCCGGGAGAGGUGAGUGGAACUGCGAGUGUAGAGGUGAAAUUCGUAGAUAUUCGCAAGAACACCAGUGGCGAAGGCGGCUCACUGGCCCGGUACUGACGCUGAGGUGCGAAAGCGUGGGGAGCAAA
rnacentral:rRNA from 1 species